rnacentral:rRNA from 1 species
GCUGUCUCCACCCGAGACUCAGUGAAAUUGAACUCGCUGUGAAGAUGCAGUGUACCCGCGGCAAGACGGAAAGACCCCGUGAACCUUUACUAUAGCUUGACACUGAACAUUGAGCCUUGAUGUGUAGGAUAGGUGGGAGGCUUUGAAGUGUGGACGCCAGUCUGCAUGGAGCCGACCUUGAAAUACCACCCUUUAAUGUUUGAUGUUCUAACGUUGGCCCCUUACCGGGGUUGCGGACAGUGUCUGGUGGGUAGUUUGACUGGGGCGGUCUCCUCCUAAAGAGUAACGGAGGAGCACGAAGGUUGGCUAAUCCUGGUCGGACAUCAGGAGGUUAGUGCAAUGGCAUAAGCCAGCUUGACUGCGAGCGUGACGGCGCGAGCAGGUGCGAAAGCAGGUCAU